GGACCUUCUUGUACUCUUGGACCUUCUUGACAUUUUUCCACAGUGGAGACAUCAGUACAGGAUUGAAGCUGUGUACGUCUGUAUAUGUGCUCAGUAAAAUGCAUGUGUCUGAGGGUUAUCCAAGAAUUAGAAAACAAAAGGCAGCGGGGAGGGUACCAAGAUGGCCGAACAGGAACAACUCCAGUCUACAGCUCCCAGCAUGAGCAACACAGAAGACAGGUGAUUG
rnacentral:lncRNA from 1 species